CAUUCACGAGCCUAUCCUUGACCGAGAGGUCCGGGUAAUCUUUGAAACUGCAUCGUGAUGGGGAUAGAUUAUUGCAAUUAUUAGUCUUCAACGAGGAAUGCCUAGUAAGCGCGAGUCAUCAGCUCGCGUUGAUUACGUCCCUGCCCUUUGUACACACCGCCCGUCGCUCCUACCGAUUGGGUGUGCUGGUGAAGUGUCCGGAUUGGCUUUAGUUGGUGGCAACACCGACUUUAGCUGAGAAGGUCAUUAAACCCUCCCACCUAGAGGAAGGAGAAGUCGUAACAAGGUUUCCGUAGGUGAACCUGCGGAAGGAUCAUUGAAUCUAUCAAUACACACACCGUGAACUUUUACUGUCUGGCCUCUUGCUUGCAAGGCACUCUUCUUGGGAUUAAGUUCCCUUGGAGGGUGGGCUCAGGCCUUCGGGUCUGAGUUGGUCUUGUCUAACCAUUUACACCUAACCAAAACAAACUAAAGACCUUAUGCAUUAGGCCUAGCCUGUGCAUCAAACCAAGACAACUCUCAACAACGGAUAUCUUGGCUCUCGUAACGAUGAAGAACGCAGCGAAAUGCGAUACGUAGUGUGAAUUGCAGAAUUCCGUGAAUCAUCAAAUCUUUGAACGCAUAUUGCACUCGAGGCUUCGGCCGAGAGUAUGUCUGCCUCAGCAUCGGGUUAAUACUCACUCAACACACCCUGUGUGUAUGCGAGUGGACCUGGCUGUCCCAGCUAUGCCUGACUGUUUCGGCAGUUAGACUAAGCUGGCUGGGUCAGCUGAAGCGCAGAGGUUAGCACAAGGACCCGUUAAGGGCCGCAACUGGGUAGGCAGCUUACGCUUGCUUCUUAGUUGUUGGCUUGGGAACUGUGUUCGACCCAAAAAACAGGAAUAACCCUAUUUUCUCGAUCUGAGCUCAGG
rnacentral:rRNA from 1 species